rnacentral:rRNA from 1 species
UUUUCUUUAUUGGGGUUGCGGACAUAUCAUAACGAAGAGGUAUCGUAAUUGAAGAGGUUUGGAAAGACCCACCACAGAAGGUAAUAGUCCUGUAUGUUAAACGAGAAGACUUUAGAUAUGAUCCAGAGUACCACGGGACACGUGAAACCCUGUGGGAAGCAGGAGGGACCACCCUCCAAGGCUAAAUACUACCUAGUGACCGAUAGCGUAUAGUACCGUGAGGGAAAGGUGAAAAGAACCCCGGGAGGGGAGUGAAAUAGAACCUGAAACCCUGCACUUACAAGCUGUGGAAGCACAUUUCUUGUGUGACCGCGUACUUUUUGUAGAACGGGCCAACGAGUUACGUUAAGUAGCAAGGUUAAGCACUUAAGGUGCGGAGCCGUAGCGAAAGCGAGUUUUAACUGAGCGUUCAGUUACUUGACGUAGACCCGAAACCGGGCGACCUACCCAUGAGCAGGAUGAAGCGAAAGUAAAAUUUCGUGGAGGUCCGAACCCACGAGCGUUGAAAAGCUCGGGGAUGACUUGUGGGUAGCGGUGAAAUUCCAAUCGAGCCCGGAGAUAGCUGGUUCUCCCCGAAAUAGCUUUAGGGCUAGCCUCAAGGUGAGAGAUACGGAGGUAGAGCACUGAAUGUCCUAGGGGGUAUUGCACCUACCGAAGACUAUCAAACUCCGAAUGCCGUCAUCUUAUACUUGGGAGUCAGACUGUGGGUGAUAAGAUUCAUAGUCGAAAGGGCAACAGCCCAGAUCGUCAGCUAAGGUCCCUAAAUGUAAGUUAAGUGGUAAAGGAUGUGGGAUUGCACAGACAACCAGGAUGUUGGCUUAGAAGCAGCCACUCAUUCAAAGAGUGCGUAAUAGCUCACUGGUCGAGUGAUCCUGCGCCGAAGAUUUCCGGGGCUAAAACUUACUACCGAAGCUACGGCAUCAGUAAUGAUGGGUAGGGGAGCUUCCCAUACGGGUUGAAGCAUGACCGUAAGGACAUGUGGACAGUAUGGGAGUGAGAAUGUUGGCAUGAGUAGCGAGAUGUGGGUGAGAAUCCCACAGGCCGUAAACCCAAGGUUUCCAGGGGAAGGUUCGUCCGCCCUGGGUUAGUCGGGACCUAAGCUGAGGCCGAAAGGCGUAGGUGAUGGACAACAGGUUGAUAUUCCUGUACUACCGAUAACCGUUUGAGAGAAGGGAUGACACAGUAGGAUAAGCUAAGCACACUGUUGGUUAUGUGUGCCCAAGCAUUGAGGCAGUCAAAGUAGGCAAAUCCGCUUUGAUAAUGCUGGGAUGUGAUGGGGAGCGAAAUUUAGUAGCGAAGUAGCUGAUUUCACACUGUCAAGAAAAGUCUCUAUCGAGGUUAAAGGUACCCGUACCGCAAACCGACACAGGUGGGUGAGGAGAGUAUCCUAAGGCCAGCGAGAGAACUGUUGUUAAGGAACUCGGCAAAAUGACCCCGUAACUUAGGGAUAAGGGGUGCCACCAUCAGGUGGCCGCAGAGAAUAGGCCCAAGCGACUGUUUACCAAAAACAUAGGUUUCUGCUAAGUCGCAAGACGAUGUAUAGGAGCUGACGCCUGCCCGGUGCUGGAAGGUUAAGGGGAUCUGUUAGAGCAAUCGAAGCAGUGAACUUAAGCCCCAGUAAACGGCGGCCGUAACUAUAACGGUCCUAAGGUAGCGAAAUUCCUUGUCGGGUAAGUUCCGACCCGCACGAAAGGCGUAACGAUUUGGGCACUGUCUCAACAACAGACUCGGUGAAAUUGUAAUUCCGGUGAAGAUGCCGGAUACCUGCGACAGGACGGAAAGACCCCAUGGAGCUUUACUGUAGCUUGACAUUGGGUCUUGGUACUACAUGUACAGGAUAGGUGGGAGGCUUUGAAACCAGGACGCCAGUUUUGGCGGAGCCAUCCUUGGGAUACCACCCUUGUAGUACUGGGACUCUAACCAUAGGCCAUGAAUCUGGUCUUGGGACACUGUCAGGUGGGCAGUUUGACUGGGGCGGUCGCCUCCCAAAAGGUAACGGAGGCGCUCAAAGGUUCUCUCAGUACGGUCGGAAAUCGUACGUAGAGUGUAAAGGCAAAAGAGAGCUUGAUUGCAAGACAUACAGGUCGAGCAAGGAUGAAAAUCGGACUUAGUGAUCCGGUGGUUCUGCGUGGAAGGGCCAUCGCUCAACGGAUAAAAGCUACCCUGGGGAUAACAGGCUUAUCUCCCCCAAGAGUCCACAUCGACGGGGAGGUUUGGCACCUCGAUGUCGGCUCAUCACAUCCUGGGGCUGUAGUAGGUCCCAAGGGUUGGGCUGUUCGCCCAUUAAAGUGGUACGCGAGCUGGGUUCAGAACGUCGUGAGACAGUUCGGUCCCUAUCCGUCGCAGGCGUAGGAAAUUUGAGAAGACCUGUCCUUAGUACGAGAGGACCGGGAUGGACGUACCUCUGGUGUACCAGUUGUCCUGCCAAGGGCAUGGCUGGGUAGCUAUGUACGGAAUGGAUAAGCGCUGAAAGCAUCUAAGCGCGAAGCCAACUUCAAGAUAAGAUUUCCCACCGCAAGGGUAAGACCCCAGAAAGACUAUCUGGUUGAUAGGUCGAAGGUGUAAGUGCAGCAAUGUAUUUAGCUUAUCGAUACUAAUAGGUCGAGGACUUGACCAA